GGCAGGGCUUAAGAUCAAUUAUCACAAGUUCGGCGCUGUAAACCCAAUGUGCCGAGAGGUGAAAUAUUUUAUAGCCUGAAGAUGAGCUCGCGUCUGAUUAGCUAGAUGGUGGGGUAAAAGCCUACCAUGGCGACGAUCAGUAGCUGUUCUGAGAGGAAGAUCAGCCACACUGGGACUGAGACACGGCCCAGACUCCUACGGGAGGCAGCAGUGGGGAAUUUUCCGCAAUGGGCGAAAGCCUGACGGAGCCAUACCGCGUGCGGGAGGAAGGCCCUUGGGUCGUAAACCGCUUUUCUUAGGGAGAAACCUGACGGUACCUAAGGAAUAAGCCUCGGCUAACUCCGUGCCAGCAGCCGCGGUAAUACGGAGGAUGCAAGCGUUAUCCGGAAUUAUUGGGCGUAAGAGUCCGUAGGUGGUUUGACCAGUCUGCGGUCCAAGAGUGCAGCUCCACUGCCUAGAGGCCGUGGAAACUGUUAAACUAGAGUAUGGUAGGGGUAGGGGGAAUUCCCAGUGUAGCGGUGAAAUGCGUAGAGAUUGGGAAGAACACCGGUGGCGAAAGCUCCCUGCUGGGCCAUAACUGACCUGAUGGACCAAGCUGGGGAAGAAUGGAUUAGAUUCCCCCCUUCCAA
rnacentral:rRNA from 1 species